GUUGGUUUCACCCGAAGGCAGUGCGCUAACCACAAGGAGGCAGCUGACCACGGUGGGAUCAGCGACUGGGGUGAAGUCGUAACAAGGUAGCCGUAGGUGAACCUGCAGAAGGAUCA
rnacentral:rRNA from 1 species